ensembl:lncRNA
GCUCAAAGUUAUGGCUUCUUCAAAGCAGCUCCAAAUCCCGAAGGUGAGAUAGCUCUCACCUGGAGCCCACGUGUGUUCCUCUACCACUUGGCUGGUAACAGUCACCUGGGAAUCAUUCCAGCAGGUGGCUUCCAAAGUCCAACCUGCUAGGUUGAAAUCUGACACUGAUAGAGACUCCCCGGGAGCUCUUACUGAAAGCUAAACCAGGAACCAGGAAAUGCACAAGCCUCUUUAUGUAGAAAACAGCUGGGCUCCCUCCGAGGCAACAGAGCACCAUGGGAAACCGGCUUUGCUGCGGGGGACACUGGAGCUGCCCAUCAACUUCCCAGAGGAAAAAGAAAAUGGAAAGCCAAGCAAGACGGACAUUGAAGCAGCAGCAGCAGCAGCAGAAUGGCACCAAGGUAAUGACAGGCCCCCGUCCCUUCCAGGGGGCUGUUCAGAUAUAGGAUCUGAGGUUCCCGCUUUUUCACCCUGGGAUGCAUCUGGGUCAUCUUGAACCAGAACUUGCUGGUUCUGCCCUACAAAGGAGCAGAGCGAGGGGACAUCGGUAUAGCUGACCCUGCUUUGCAGAUGAGGGGCAAAAGCAAGCCAAGUACCUCCCUUAAUGCUGUCAAUUUCUUGCAGGCCCAUGACACAACAGGACGUAUGUAUGAGCAGGUGUUAGAGAAGCCUGCUCUCAGGAGAGGAGUCGAGGCCUUAGUGUGAAGGAGAACAGCUUACAUUAUGCAGACAUUCAAGUGUACAGCUGUACCCAGCCACGCUCUGCUCUGGAAGUGAAGCAUCUUCAGUCAGAAAAUGCUACAGAAUAUGCAACCCUUCGCUUCCCCCAGGCCACGCCCCGCUACGACAGCAAGAACGGCACCCUGGUGUGAGCCUUGGGGAGGAAGGGCCUGUUUCCGCAUCAUUUCGCCACUACUCCUGUGGGGAGACUUCUGCUUUGGGGAAUUGGCUGGUGGCCCAGAGAUGGCUGCCACGUUUUAAACUUAACUCCAGAACCCCAGUGAGAGCCCCCCAUUCUUGCUCUCUCCUCUAGGCCUACCUUUAAUUUGCCACCGUGAGCUUGGAGUUGUUUCGGGGCUGGUUAGGGGCGGAUGGAGUUCCACAAAAGGAGGGACUAGGAGGAGCAUGCCAAAAAUUUUUUGACCCCUACCUUUGCUCUUGCUUUCAAGAAAAGUGAAGGAAGAACAGGUUACCUCAGCACUUAAGUUGAUUUUGUUAGGCUUAAUUUAAUGGUGUCUCUUUUAUACACCUUAAAUCUAAAGCUGAAGAAGAAGUGCUCUGGAAAAGCAUUCUGAGUUCUCACACCAGCCCCCAGGGCUGGCUUGGGCAAUUCCCUCAAUGGUUGGGUCAAAGGUCUCAGAACCUAAAAAAGACAAACGAGGGCAGGGGUGAGGCGUGGAGGAAGCAAUUCCCUGACCACCGGUUACACGUAUUUCAAGUCACUGACAGCACUGCAUGACCCGGAAACUCCCUUUGGCUGGACCGUAGGCUCUCGCAGGUGCAAAGUCUCUGGGAUCAAUAAAUCGCAUAAGGAACAUGCCUGGUGCGUGUUG